AUUGAACGCUGGCGGCAGGCCUAACACAUGCAAGUCGAGCGGUAGCACAGAGAGCUUGCUCUCGGGUGACGAGCGGCGGACGGGUGAGUAAUGUCUGGGAAACUGCCUGAUGGAGGGGGAUAACUACUGGAAACGGUAGCUAAUACCGCAUAACGUCGCAAGACCAAAGUGGGGGACCUUAGGGCCUCAUGCCAUCAGAUGUGCCCAGAUGGGAUUAGCUAGUAGGUGGGGUAACGGCUCACCUAGGCGACGAUCCCUAGCUGGUCUGAGAGGAUGACCAGCCACACUGGAACUGAGACACGGUCCAGACUCCUACGGGAGGCAGCAGUGGGGAAUAUUGCACAAUGGGCGCAAGCCUGAUGCAGCCAUGCCGCGUGUAUGAAGAAGGCCUUCGGGUUGUAAAGUACUUUCAGCGAGGAGGAAGGCGUUAAGGUUAAUAACCUUGGCGAUUGACGUUACUCGCAGAAGAAGCACCGGCUAACUCCGUGCCAGCAGCCGCGGUAAUACGGAGGGUGCAAGCGUUAAUCGGAAUUACUGGGCGUAAAGCGCACGCAGGCGGUCUGUUAAGUCAGAUGUGAAAUCCCCGGGCUCAACCUGGGAACUGCAUUUGAAACUGGCAGGCUUGAGUCUUGUAGAGGGGGGUAGAAUUCCAGGUGUAGCGGUGAAAUGCGUAGAGAUCUGGAGGAAUACCGGUGGCGAAGGCGGCCCCCUGGACAAAGACUGACGCUCAGGUGCGAAAGCGU
rnacentral:rRNA from 1 species